ensembl:snoRNA Gm22379 small nucleolar RNA SNORA17
AUUGAAGGAGGCCUUGCAGGUGUGGCUGCUAUGUCACAAGUGUGUCAGUAGAUGGCAGAGAGGAGAGAGGCUGUGUCCGCACUCAGUGGCUGGUCAGGGAGCUAGCCUGAGGGGACCAUCAGUCAGGCAAU